CAACGCCGCGUGAGUGAGGAAGGCCUUCGGGUCGUAAAGCUCUGUUGCCAGGGAAGAAUAAGGGCCAGUUAACUGCUGGUUCGAUGACGGUACCUGAGAAGAAAGCCCCGGCUAACUACGUGCCAGCAGCCGCGGUAAUACGUAGGGGGCAAGGCGUUGUCCGGAAUUAUUGGGCGUAAAGCGCGCGCAGGCGGUUCUUUAAGUCUGGUGUCUAAGUGCGGGGCUCAGCCCCGUGAUGCACUGGAAACUGGGGAACUUGAGUGCAGAAGAGGAGAGCGGAAUUCCACGUGUAGCGGUGAAAUGCGUAGAGAUGUGGAGGAACACCAGUGGCGAAGGCGGACUCUCUGGACUGUAACUGACGCUGAGGCGCGAAAGCGUGGGGAGCAAACAGGAUUAGAUACCCUGGUAGUCCACGCCGUAAACGAUGAGUGCUAGGUGUUGGGGGGUCCACCCCUCGGUGCCGAAGUUAACACAUUAAGCACUCCGCCUGGGGAGUACGGUCGCAAGACUG
rnacentral:rRNA from 1 species